rnacentral:lncRNA from 1 species
GGCGGGUUAUACGCAGUGGUAAGCCGGUAUAAUUUUCCUCUUCCUCUCGCACCCGGGAUUGAGGUUUUUUCAAUGGAUUUAUCUUUCUGCGUGCAGUUUGUAGUGCCAUCCGGUGGUCUUCAAGCCUUCCGAUAUGAUUUUGUUGCUGGCGAAGAAGAUCGAGCGACCGCAAGAUCUGUGUCACGGUAAGAUUCUUUUGCUUCCUUGGAUGCAUUGGAUUGCCUUGUUAUGCUAAAUUUGUUGAUGGAUGCUUGGUUUGCCAUAACUGUUGGGCUGAAGUUUCAUUGAUGCUUUGUAGUUGAUUUGUGCUUACAGGCAAAUGUUUUUGUAGUCAAGGCACUGUCUUUGUUAUCCCCCCAGCCCCCCUGUGAUUCAUUAUGAAUGCCUCUGUUUUAAACCGCUAGUAUGGGUAUGGGAUAUUGUCUGUGAUAGUAGUGAUUGCUGAAGAAUAUGUAAAUUUAAUGACAAUUACAUCGCAAUUGCUAGUGGUAUGAUGUUAUGCUGGAG